CUCUGUUUGAACUUUGUAUUGGCUAAAUCAAACUCCUAGGCGUAUGCAAAAGUCUAAUCAUGUUGGAGCCUCAAAAUAAAUUCCAAACUUUUUUCAUAUUUGCAAUAUUGAUCAUUUAACUCCUCUGAUUAAAAUCUUUCAACUUUGGUGUCAACAUUAAUCUCAUCUCCUAGGCAAGCUCUGCAGGUUGAAAUUGGUACUCCCCCAAGGCAGAGAGGCAAAACGUUUGCGCAUGAUUGUUAAAUUGGUGGCCGUGACUUUUGUUUUACAAUUUCCAGUGUUUCCUUCUUGCUUGUAAUAUGAAUCCCAAAGCCAUUAUUCAUAAAUAUAUUUUAUCAUGUUUUUCUGCACACUUAUCUUCCACAAGCAAAAAUCUCAUCAUCACAUUUCUUAAAACCCUUUGGCAAAAAUCCAGACUCCUUAGCAUGAUAUAAAACUUUGAUCCUGACAUCUCUCAAAAUAAAGUCCAGAUUUCUUCCCAGGAAACUCAAAUUAUGAAACUCUCGCUUAAAAUCUCAAUGUGUUUUCAUCACUACAAAAAGCCUCACCAUCUUAGCAAGGCACCCACUUUUAAUCAUGGCAGUCCCAGCUUCAAACCUGUCAAGUUCCAUGUCUACAACAUCAAAUCCAAAUGCCUGAGCAUGAAAUGAAAAGGGGACCAAGUAUUUCUCACGUUGAAAAUCGUUAGAUUGCUCUUCUUAAACCAUAAAGCUUAAGUUCCUUUCGCACAAAACCAAAACUUUUUCACCAUCUACAGUUUCCCACUUUCAUUUCCUGUUCCUCAUGCUUCCCUCUGAAAAGACUGAGUUUCCCAUUCUCCAGCCUCCAAAAGCAUUUCGAUUUUAUUGUUCCCGGAUGUUAAUUUCUUUCUUUCUCUCAACCAAGUCCCUCUCACGGAAUUCAUUAAUUCAUACAGCAGCAUGUCCUGAUUCUUUUUCUGGGCCAGGCACAGGUUUCGAUCCCCAUGGAGGGAAAUGGAGGCAGACCCACCUUGCAGAUCAUUACCUGGGAGGAGAUGAGGCCCCGCCCUGGAGACGAAUACCCUGCCGGAGACAAAUGAAUCCUUUAACUCUUCUCCUGAGUGCCAGCCCAUCCCGUUCACUGCCCCCGCUCCCCCACUCUGGGGGAGGUCGACCUGGGACCUCCACCCCACGUCUUACCUUGGCUGCAGGCGCUCAAGUGGAUCUCCUCCGGUCCGGUGCGACUCGAACCUCGCCGCUUUCUGAAAAGUGGUCUGAAGGGGAGACGGCUGCCUUCUCGUGGGAAGGGAGCAGAUGCCUGGCCCAGGACCCCAUCAA
rnacentral:lncRNA from 1 species